UUCUCUCUCUCUCUCUCUCUCUCCCCCUCUUACUCCCUUCCUUUUUCUUCUAAAAAUGUUUCUAACUCACAUUUUCGUUCUCGGCUGACUCUUUCCCUCUCUCACACCCUUCGUUUCCCUUGUGAUCUAUGGGUGCCGCGAAUUUGGAAAGUUUCCAGAUUACUGUAUGGUCUUCCACUCUACACGCUGAUUUCAGGGGUGCUUUGUUCAUAAGUCGAGGGAAUGGGUGGCCGUUGAAGCCAUCAUCGUACAAAGGUAGGAUUUCCCUUCUCAUCCCGAUUCCAACAUAUCUUAAUUUCUCUCUAUUUUUCACUGUUGUGAUUUUCUUUUGGAGAAUUGGGUGGUGUCAUCUUCAAGUUCACAUUAGACAGCAAGAAGAAGUCCAUCUCUCGCUCAUCUCGCGCUGGCCUUCAGGCGUGGUUUAGGCAUCUCAAGGUAUUACUGCCCUUGGUGAACCUACCAAUGUGAACCUACCAACGUGGGCAGUUGGUGGAGUUAUUGGAUCAAUCUUGGUGGUCCUUUGCUUGUUUUGGGUUGGUCUGGUAGAAGAAGAACUACCCAUGAAAGAAAUGGUCGGAAAGCUAACGACAAACAGAAUGUAAAGUAAAAUAAUUAUCCAUGAAGAAGAGCUUUCAUGUAA